rnacentral:rRNA from 1 species
CCUACGGGUGGCAGCAGUGGGGAAUAUUGCACAAUGGGGGAAACCCUGAUGCAGCGACGCCGCGUGAGUGAAGAAGUAAUUCGUUAUGUAAAGCUCUAUCAGCAGGGAAGAAAAUGACGGUACCUGAGUAAGAAGCCCCGGCUAACUACGUGCCAGCAGCCGAGGUAAAACGUAGGGGGCAAGCGGUAUCCGGAUUUACUGGGUGGAAAGGGAGCGUAGACGGCGGGGCAAGUCUGGAGUGAAAGGCGGGGGCUCAAACCCCGGACUGCUCUGGAAACUGGACGGCUGGAGAGCAGGAGAGGUAAGUGGAAGUCCUAGUGUAGCGGUGAAAUGCGUAGAUAUUAGGAGGAACACCAGUGGCGAAGGCGGCUUACUGGACUGUAACUGACGUUGAGGCUCGAAAGCGUGGGGAGCAAACAGGAUUAGAUACCCUAGUAGUC